GGGGUGCUCGAGUGGCGAACGGGUGAGUAACACGUGAGUAACCUGCCCUUGACUUUGGGAUAACUUCAGGAAACUGGGGCUAAUACCGGAUAGGAGCUCCUGCUGCAUGGUGGGGGUUGGGAAGUUUCGGCGGUUGGGGAUGGACUCGCGGCUUAUCAGCUUGUUGGUGGGGUAGUGGCUUACCAAGGCUUUGACGGGUAGCCGGCCUGAGAGGGUGACCGGCCACAUUGGGACUGAGAUACGGCCCAG
rnacentral:rRNA from 1 species